GUCAAGUCACCAGGAUCGGCUGGGUAGUCCUGUUCAUUAGAAUAGAGCCGGAAGUUGCAAAUGUCUUCGUCUAUGGCAGCAAGGGAAAGCCGUGUGUCAAAGGAGAAAGAACUGAGUGAACCCCGAUGAAGAAGAAGGUUUAGCUGCAGAGACUAUGAGCACAAGGUGAAGAGAACAGCGAAGGGUAUCCCAGUAACCAGUAGGGUCGAGAUUGUAGCUGAAGAUUUGAAAGUCGGACUAAAUGGGAAGGGAGAUUUCGGAUCGGAAAAGUGGAACGGCGUUGGAAUCUGCUGCACAUCACGCGCUUGAAAGCAGGAAAAUAUUCUUGCAUACGUCUUCUUCUUCCUCCAAAUACAUACUGUUUCUACUGUUAGUUAUUUAUUCCAAAGUGGGAUUAACACUAUCGGGCUUCAGGUUUCAAUAUUUGUGUUCUUUUCUUUUGCUGUCUUUUUCAAGUAUUCAUUUUUUUUUGCAGUUUAGGGUUCCAGACAUAUUCAAACGAGUUGCAACUUAAAGUGUUGUCGGUAAUGGUUCUAUAAUUCACGGAUAAGCAUAGGAUUCUUGCAUAACUCAAGCGCCUCGAUCAUGACAUCAAAUUCCUUCAGGAGGAACAAGGUGUAGAACAUCUCUUCAAACACUUGCAGGAUUUUCCAGACAAUACGUACAGCAUUUUGAUAUUGUCCUUUAUUUAUUUAAUUAAUUUUGUUCAUUGCAAGAGGUCCGUUAACUCUUUCAAACCUCUAUAUUUAGGAGGAUAGGUGGGAACAUGGUUCAAGUUGGAGUAUAACCUUUGUACAAAGUUGACAGUAAAUUGGGUGAAGGUUAUGGUUACAUCCUGACCUUUAGAUAAGCAUACAUUGGUGAGAAUUGUGAGAAUUGCGGUUGUGCUCAAGGGAGAAGUACUUGGGGUGGAUUGUUUGAUACAGAUGACAAUGGCAUUUUUUAUUCCAAUGACCCAAACUAUGACAACACUGAGCUGCAUCUUUGAUUGGUUCAUUUGCCAAUUCAAAAAUUCUUGCUGCAUUUUCUGUUCCUACUGGGAAGAAUUCAUGUAAUAUUUUGAAAUACAAGAGUCUGAUCCUGAAUGUGAUUGCUUGAAUUGGUGGCAUGCUUUUUGGCUAUGAUACGCAGGUAUUUAUUUCAUUUCAUUUUGGAUUUCAUAUACACGAUUUAAAAAAAUCAUUAUUCCUUCUUUAAAUUCGUGUUUAUUAUACCACAUCUGCCUCUAAUGAUUCUUUCUGUUUCUGAUUGUGUGCAUCAAAGUUACUGAUUUCAUCUGAUUUCUUACUUAUAGUAGUUUAUUUGUGAAAUUCUAACGUGUGUUGACUGAAGAUAUGAGAGAUAUAUCAAGGCAUUUUUCCUCCUUCAAUCAUACUCCAAGUGUAAUUAAUAACCAAAACUUCUAUUUUACAAUUCAUUCUGUUUAAAGUAAGAACUGAGUUGUCACAAUCAAAACAAGAAAAUUUUGAUGCAGCUUUGUCUUUGGUGCAUCUAUUCUUUUAUAAUAUUUGUUUUAUACAUAAAAAAAAAUUGUAAUCUAACUUUAUGUUACUUACAUAUAUCAUAUGUCUAGACUGAUAAAAAGGUAAGUGAGGUGAUAUAGAGUUUAAAAUAGUUAAAUUAUGUUAUUCACCUAAGGCUCCGUACCAUCCCAUCUAAAUUGAACAUUGCUAAUUGCCAUUGUAACCGAUGCAAUUUUCAAUUCUCAUGGCCGCAUUCAAUUUUUUUUUACAUUUUUGAACUUCUUAAAUAUCAGUUUGUUUAUUUAUUGUUGUUUUGAUUGGUGUCGAAUGACUAAUAUGUGAUUAAUGACCCGGCU